rnacentral:rRNA from 1 species
GAUGAACGCUGGCGGCGUGCCUAAUACAUGCAAGUCGAGCGAACAGACGAGGAGCUUGCUCCUCUGACGUUAGCGGCGGACGGGUGAGUAACACGUGGAUAACCUACCUAUAAGACUGGGAUAACUUCGGGAAACCGGAGCUAAUACCGGAUAAUAUAUUGAACCGCAUGGUUCAAUAGUGAAAGACGGUUUUGCUGUCACUUAUAGAUGGAUCCGCGCCGCAUUAGCUAGUUGGUAAGGUAACGGCUUACCAAGGCAACGAUGCGUAGCCGACCUGAGAGGGGAGGGGCCCAAAGGGAAACUAAAACGCGGUCCAAGCCCUAAGGGGGGGCAGAGGAGGGAAAUUGCCCGAAGGGGGAGAAGGCGGAGGGGAGAAGCGCGGGGAGGGAAAAAAGGUUUUUGGGAGGAAAAACCUUUUUUUUAGGGAAAAAAAAAAUGUAAAGAAAAUUAGCAGCGUUGAGAGGGACCCAAAAGAAAAGCCACGGGCAACCUGGG